rnacentral:rRNA from 1 species
GACGAACGCUGGCGGCGUGCCUAAUACAUGCAAGUAGGACGCAGUUGUGAACGGGUGAGUAACGCCUAGGCAACUACCUGUUAGAGGGGGAUAACUAUUGGAAACGAUAGCUAAUACCGCAUACUAGUAGCUGGAUCUGCUUUGUAUUAGCUAGUAGGUAGGGUAAUGGCCUACCUAGGCAACGAUCCAUAGCCGACCGUCAAGGGUGAUCGGCCCCACUGGGACUGGGACACGGGCCAGACCCCUACGGGAGGCAGCAGUAGGGAAACUUCGGCAAUGGGGGGAACCCUGACCGAGCAACGCCGCGUGAGUGAAGAAGGUUUUCGGAUCGUAAAGCUCUGUUGAUAAGGAAGCGGUACUUAACCAGAAAGCGACGGCUAACUACGUGCCAGCAGCCGCGGUAAUAC